GGCUACUAGGGUAUCUAAUCCUGUUUGCUCCCCACGCUUUCGCUUCUCAGUGUCAGUAUCGGCCCAGAGACCCGCCUUCGCCACCGGUGUUCCUCCUGAUAUCUGCGCAUUCCACCGCUACACCAGGAAUUCCAGUCUCCCCUGCCGAACUCUAGCUCGCCCGUAUCGGAAGCAGGCCCGCGGUUAAGCCGCGGGUUUUCACUCCCGACGCAACGAGCCACCUACAAGCUCUUUACGCCCAAUAAUUCCGGACAACGCUCGCACCCUACGUAUUACCGCGGCGGCUGACAC
rnacentral:misc_RNA from 1 species